rnacentral:tRNA from 1 species
GGUGAUCCAGUGGCUAAGAUUCUGCACUUCUAAUGUAGGAGCCCCAGGUUGGAUUCCUGGCC